GACGAACGCUGGCGGCGUGCUUAACACAUGCAAGUCGAACGGAAAGGCCCUGCUUUUGUGGGGUGCUCGAUUGGCGAACGCGUGAGUAACACGUGAGUAUCCUGCCCUUGACUUUCGGAUAACUUCAGGAAACUGGGGCUAAUAUCGGAUAGGAUCUCCUGCUGCAUGGUGGGGGUUGGAAAGUUUCGGCGUUUGGGGAUGGACUCGCGGCUUAUCAGCUUGUUGGUGGGGUAGUGGCUUACCAAGGGUUUGACGGGUAGCCGGCCUGAGAGGGGGGCCGGGGACAAGAGGACUAAGAGAGGGAGCAGACGGGUACGGGAGGCAACAGGGGGGAGUAUGGCGCAGUGAGCGGGAGCGUGAGGCAAAAACGUUGGGUGCGGGAUGACGGCCUUCGGGGUAUAAACAGCUGUCGCCUGAGACGAAGCGGGAGUGACGGUAAUGGGUAAAGAAGCACCGGCUAACUACGUG
rnacentral:rRNA from 1 species